rnacentral:rRNA from 1 species
UACGUAGGGGGCUAGCGUUGUCCGGAUUUAUUGGGCGUAAAGAGCGUGUAGGCGGCCAGGUAGGUCUGGUGUGAAAACUCGAGGCUUAACCUCGAGAUGUCAUCGGAAACCAUCUGGCUAGAGCCCGGAAGAGGAGAGUGGAAUUCCUGGUGUAGCGGUGAAAUGCGCAGAUAUCAGGAAGAACACCAAUGGCGAAAGCAGCUCUCUGGGACGGUACUGACGCUGAGACGCGAAAGCGUGGGGAGCGAACAGG